UGAUCGAAAAAAAUCGAGCAAAAAAAAGAAAGAAAAAAAUUGAAAAAAAAAUAAAAAUUGAAAAAAAAGAGGAUUUCGUGAAUUUUGAAGAUAUUUUGGUAUUAUUCAAUUGUAUUUGAAGUGAAAAAAAUCGAAGUAUAAAAAAAAAAGAAGUGAAAAGUGUUGCGAGUUUUAUUUUGUUAUCAAUUCUUGUUACUUCCGAAUAUCCAUUCAUUCUACCAUUCCUUCUACCCCCC
rnacentral:lncRNA from 1 species